rnacentral:rRNA from 1 species
UGCAUAUCAAUAAGCGGAGGAAAAGAAACUAACAAGGAUUCCCCUAGUAACGGCGAGUGAAGUGGGAAAAGCUCAACUUUGAAAUCUGGUACUUUCAGUAUCCGAAUUGUAGUCUCAAGAAGUGUUUUCUGUGCCGGUCCAUGUAUGAGUCUGUUGGAACACAGCGUCAUAGAGGGUGACAACCCCGUUCAUGACAUGGAUCCCGGUGCUUUGUGAUACACUCUCGAAGAGUCGAGUUGUUUGGGAAUGCAGCUCAAAUUGGGUGGUAAAUUCCAUCUAAAGCUAAAUAUUGGCGAGAGACCGAUAGCAAACAAGUACCGUGAGGGAAAGAUGAAAAGCACUUUGGAAAGAGAGUUAACAGUACGUGAAAUUGUUGAAAGGGAAACGAUUGAAGUCAGACGUGCGUGAUGCGGUUCAGCUCUAGUUCGCUAGAGUGUACUCCGUAUCUUUGCAGGCCAACAUCGGUUUUGUUAGUCGGAUAAAGGUUUGAGAAAUGUGGCACCUUCGGGUGUGUUAUAGUCUCAGACUGAAUACGAUUGAUGGGACCGAGGAACGCAGCGCGCCGCAAGGCAAAGGUUCCGACCUUUUCGCGCUUAGGAUGUUGGUGAAAUGGCUUUAAACGACCCGUCUUGAAACC